rnacentral:rRNA from 3 species
UUAAGCGACUAAGCGUACACGGUGGAUGCCCUGGCAGUCAGAGGCGAUGAAGGACGUGCUAAUCUGCGAUAAGCGUCGGUGAGGUGAUAUGAACCGUUAUAACCGGCGAUUUCCGAAUGGGGAAACCCAGUGUGAUUCGUCACACUAUCAUUAACUGAAUCCAUAGGUUAAUGAGGCGAACCGGGGGAACUGAAACAUCUAAGUACCCCGAGGAAAAGAAAUCAACCGAGAUUCCCCCAGUAGCGGCGAGCGAACGGGGAGGAGCCCAGAGCCUGAAUCAGUGUGUGUGUUAGUGGAAGCGUCUGGAAAGGCGCGCGAUACAGGGUGACAGCCCCGUACACAAAAACGCACAUAUUGUGAGCUCGAUGAGUAGGGCGGGACACGUGGUAUCCUGUCUGAAUAUGGGGGGACCAUCCUCCAAGGCUAAAUACUCCUGACUGACCGAUAGUGAACCAGUACCGUGAGGGAAAGGCGAAAAGAACCCCGGCGAGGGGAGUGAAAAAGAACCUGAAACCGUGUACGUACAAGCAGUGGGAGCCUCUUAAUGGGGUGACUGCGUACCUUUUGUAUAAUGGGUCAGCGACUUAUAUUCUGUAGCAAGGUUAACCGAAUAGGGGAGCCGAAGGGAAACCGAGUCUUAACUGGGCGUUAAGUUGCAGGGUAUAGACCCGAAACCCGGUGAUCUAGCCAUGGGCAGGUUGAAGGUUGGGUAACACUAACUGGAGGACCGAACCGACUAAUGUUGAAAAAUUAGCGGAUGACUUGUGGCUGGGGGUGAAAGGCCAAUCAAACCGGGAGAUAGCUGGUUCUCCCCGAAAGCUAUUUAGGUAGCGCCUCGUGAAUUCAUCUCCGGGGGUAGAGCACUGUUUCGGCAAGGGGGUCAUCCCGACUUACCAACCCGAUGCAAACUGCGAAUACCGGAGAAUGUUAUCACGGGAGACACACGGCGGGUGCUAACGUCCGUCGUGAAGAGGGAAACAACCCAGACCGCCAGCUAAGGUCCCAAAGUCAUGGUUAAGUGGGAAACGAUGUGGGAAGGCCCAGACAGCCAGGAUGUUGGCUUAGAAGCAGCCAUCAUUUAAAGAAAGCGUAAUAGCUCACUGGUCGAGUCGGCCUGCGCGGAAGAUGUAACGGGGCUAAACCAUGCACCGAAGCUGCGGCAGCGACACUAUGUGUUGUUGGGUAGGGGAGCGUUCUGUAAGCCUGUGAAGGUGGCCUGUGAGGGUUGCUGGAGGUAUCAGAAGUGCGAAUGCUGACAUAAGUAACGAUAAAGCGGGUGAAAAGCCCGCUCGCCGGAAGACCAAGGGUUCCUGUCCAACGUUAAUCGGGGCAGGGUGAGUCGACCCCUAAGGCGAGGCCGAAAGGCGUAGUCGAUGGGAAACAGGUUAAUAUUCCUGUACUUGGUGUUACUGCGAAGGGGGGACGGAGAAGGCUAUGUUGGCCGGGCGACGGUUGUCCCGGUUUAAGCGUGUAGGCUGGUUUUCCAGGCAAAUCCGGAAAAUCAAGGCUGAGGCAUGAUGACGAGGCACUACGGUGCUGAAGCGACAAAUGCCCUGCUUCCAGGAAAAGCCUCUAAGCAUCAGGUAACAUCAAAUCGUACCCCAAACCGACACAGGUGGUCAGGUAGAGAAUACCAAGGCGCUUGAGAGAACUCGGGUGAAGGAACUAGGCAAAAUGGUGCCGUAACUUCGGGAGAAGGCACGCUGAUAUGUAGGUGAAGCGACUUGCUCGUGGAGCUGAAAUCAGUCGAAGAUACCAGCUGGCUGCAACUGUUUAUUAAAAACACAGCACUGUGCAAACACGAAAGUGGACGUAUACGGUGUGACGCCUGCCCGGUGCCGGAAGGUUAAUUGAUGGGGUUAGCGGUAACGCGAAGCUCUUGAUCGAAGCCCCGGUAAACGGCGGCCGUAACUAUAACGGUCCUAAGGUAGCGAAAUUCCUUGUCGGGUAAGUUCCGACCUGCACGAAUGGCGUAAUGAUGGCCAGGCUGUCUCCACCCGAGACUCAGUGAAAUUGAACUCGCUGUGAAGAUGCAGUGUACCCGCGGCAAGACGGAAAGACCCCGUGAACCUUUACUAUAGCUUGACACUGAACAUUGAGCCUUGAUGUGUAGGAUAGGUGGGAGGCUUUGAAGUGUGGACGCCAGUCUGCAUGGAGCCGACCUUGAAAUACCACCCUUUAAUGUUUGAUGUUCUAACGUGGGCCCCUUACCGGGGUUGCGGACAGUGUCUGGUGGGUAGUUUGACUGGGGCGGUCUCCUCCUAAAGAGUAACGGAGGAGCACGAAGGUUGGCUAAUCCUGGUCGGACAUCAGGAGGUUAGUGCAAUGGCAUAAGCCAGCUUGACUGCGAGCGUGACGGCGCGAGCAGGUGCGAAAGCAGGUCAUAGUGAUCCGGUGGUUCUGAAUGGAAGGGCCAUCGCUCAACGGAUAAAAGGUACUCCGGGGAUAACAGGCUGAUACCGCCCAAGAGUUCAUAUCGACGGCGGUGUUUGGCACCUCGAUGUCGGCUCAUCACAUCCUGGGGCUGAAGUAGGUCCCAAGGGUAUGGCUGUUCGCCAUUUAAAGUGGUACGCGAGCUGGGUUUAGAACGUCGUGAGACAGUUCGGUCCCUAUCUGCCGUGGGCGCUGGAGAACUGAGGGGGGCUGCUCCUAGUACGAGAGGACCGGAGUGGACGCAUCACUGGUGUUCGGGUUGUCAUGCCAAUGGCACUGCCCGGUAGCUAAAUGCGGAAGAGAUAAGUGCUGAAAGCAUCUAAGCACGAAACUUGCCCCGAGAUGAGUUCUCCCUGACUCCUUGAGAGUCCUGAAGGAACGUUGAAGACGACGACGUUGAUAGGCCGGGUGUGUAAGCGCAGCGAUGCGUUGAGCUAACCGGUACUAAUGAACCGUGAGGCUUAACCUU